ACUCAAAUGAAUUGACGGGGAGGCGCACAAGCAGUGGAGCGUGUGGUUUAAUUCGAUACAAAGCGAAAAACCUCACCAGGGUUUGACAUGGACCUGCAAGCGCACGGAAACGUGUGACCUUCGAGGGUGGUCCACAGAUGCUGCAUGGCUGUCGUCAGUUCGUGGCGUGAGCUGUCCCCUUAAGUGGGUAAACGAACGCAACCCGCACCGUAUGUUAAAUAACUCAUAUGGAACAGCCCGGCUUUGCCGGGAGGAAGGCGCGGAUGAUGUCAAGUCAGCACGGCUCUUACACCCUGGGCUACACACACCCUACAAUGGCGAAUAACAACGAGUUGCAAACUGGUAACAGUAAGCUAAUCUCUGAAAUUUCGCCCCAGUUCAGAUCGAGGUCUGAAAUUCGACCUCGUGAAGUCGGAAUUGCUAGUAAUCGCGGAUCAGCGGGCCGCGGUGAAUACGUUCUCGCCUCUUGUACACACCGCCCGU
rnacentral:rRNA from 1 species